CCCUUUCUUAUGUAGCUUCUAUAGGUUCUGCGAGAAAAGUCUAAAUUUUCUGGAUCCAAACAAUAUAUUAAAACUUCACCACUAGUGAUCAAGGCUGUGAAUGACUUAAAACAUUGUGGGAAUUACCUUCUAUCCUGAUAAAAUCAUAUGAAAAUAUCAGUCACCAGUUGGAUGGAACCCUACUGUUCUUCAGUACCCAGGACUCAGCAGGCAGAAGUGAAGAAGCUUUUUUAUUUUUCUCUGCCGAGACUGGGUCAGUCAGAGAAGCAGACAAAGUGUUGAAGAGCUCUCCACCUUCACCCUAGAGCAGAGAGAGAUAAUUCUUUGCUCUUGGCUGUUGUAUUUUAUGUAAUUAGGAUAUAUUUUUUCAAUCAUUCCGGAUGCAUUCAAGUUGUAAGUGGCUCAGGACGCACACAGUGAAUUAUUAUACUGUUGGCCUAUACUGGAAGCUUUAUGAGCUGUUCUGCAUCCUGAUUUGUUAGAGGAAGAUGAAACCCCAUAAAAGUGAAGCUGAAAGCUACAGAAAACAUUACUGCUUUGUUUUUCCUAUUUAUGAAGCACUGAACUGUAGAGUACUCUAAUGAUAGCUUGUAUUAAUUUUAACAAACUUGAAAAUCUUGCUGACUAGUCUAACAUUUAGGUGCUUUUUCAUUCUCUUUCUCAUCAACCUUUAGCUUUUUGCUGGAGGCACCACAUUUGUUAUGUUAGUGUAAGUAGAUAAUUACAAACAGUGGUAAAAUGAAACUCCACCACUGGUAAAGCUGAGAGGUUUUUAAAAGUUUCAUCCCACCCAGCUACAAAAAAUUUAAUUUAAAUUAAAAUAUAUGGCUUGUGAUUGUGAACAUAUCAGUUUUAUUACCAUAAAACUUUUUUUUUUUUUUUUUGGUGCUGCUUUUUAAAUAGCUUCAAUUCUGUUAAAAAAUAUGGAAAACAUUCCACUUCCUAAAACUAGCAUUGGUUUUUGGUUCUUGUUUUCUACUUACACAUGAACACUUACACAUGAAUUUGGCUUCAGAAACUACCUAUGGGAUUUGGUGGGGGGAGGAAAAGUAAUCCCUCUUCCUACAGAUCUGUUUUUAACUAAAGGUUAAAGUGUGUAGCAGUUGAAACUCAGGUGAUCCUGAGUUGUCUGUCGCAGGUGAUCUUUAGCCUUUUGUAAGCAGGGAGUUAUUUUGCAAAGACACGGGGGAUGUAUUGUAUGGGGGGUAGGUUAUAAUGCUUGAUCUUGUACUGAAGGCUUGAAGAAAAGAAUACUAAAGAGGGAAUAAUAAGUGGUAAGAGA
ensembl:lncRNA